UUCUAUCUUUCUAGGCUACAAGAACAAAGGGCAAAAGCAUGUUUAUACAUCAGAAAGGACAAUACCCACCGUCGCCAGACCCUUUAUGUAUCUUUCCAGGCUGCAAGGAUGAAGGGGAAAAUAUGUUCAAAGGACAAUGCCUGCUCUGGCCAGACUCCUACCACGAUUGUAUUGCCUUCCCGGACUCCUAUUAAUUUUUACAUAUCCCAACAAUCAUGUUUUUUUAAUGAAAUGGAUACUAAGCUAUUUAACUUACAACUUAUCAGGAUGCAUAAUGCUGCUUUUGUGUCUUAAUGAUACCGUCUAACACCAUAUAAUACAUGUACUAAGAUUAAAAAGCAUUUAAAUAUAUUAUAGCUGUUUCUAGCAAAGACUGUUUUAGUUAAAGCGUUGAAUAAAGUUUCCAUUAUAACCUCAUUUUACAUCAUCAUAUCUUUUUGAAACAUAGGCUUUCUUGGCUGAAAUAUGCUAAAAGAAAAUAUUUUUUUCUCUUCUGGUUCUCAUGCUGAUUUUUCAGAGUUUGGGGAGAAUGGAAAAAGCAACAACAAAAAUCCUGCAUACAUUUCUCAUACUCACCACUUGAUUUUAAAGAGGCUGCUGCAACAACAGCUGAGGUUUGAAACAUGACAUGGUUGCUUGGAAAUUUCCUAUAUGUCACUUUUGGGGCUGGAGAGUCAAGCCAAUGAAGAAAACCUACAUGCAUUGCAUCAAACUAUCUAACAGAGUGCUAAUUCUGUCAAGAGAAAAGGCACGCCACUGUGCUGCUAUCUGAUUUCUCCAAGGCUCCCUGCCAGUAAGUUCUGCACAUCAUUCAGUGUUGUAAACAGCAGGGGGUUUGCUUCUUUAAAGGAUUUAAUGUACUAUAUGAAGUUUCUCUAUACGGCCAAUUGUAUUUUGCAAUGAUCUCUGCAGUGCAUUGAGAAAUUAAAUCAAAGUUAAAAUUAAAUAAACUUAAUGUUGAGCGGGGAAGAGAAAGUGAAAAAGAAAAAUUAAAAUCAGAUCAGAGAUGGGGGGACUUGUACGAAAUGCAUUUUCCUUGACAUGUUUGCCAAUUUUUUGCAGUUGUUCCAGACAUUUGUGUUUAAACAAUAGUUUAUUGCACUCUCCUGUUCCCAUAGCUGGGCUUCAUCUACAUUUUACACUGGAAUUGUAAUCCUGCCUUUGACACUUUGAGAUCGAUCACACCUACAGGAUCAAUCCUACAGGAAUACCUACAGAAAUACCUACAGGAAGGAGUUAUGUUUUCCUGAAACGUUCGUCAGGGAAGAGAUUUUGGAAGCACAUAUCCAGCAAUACUGCACAACUGGGCUUGGCAGUUCUGUCAUAGUUAAAGAAUAUGCUCUUCAGCAGGGGCACUGGAAACUCCUCUAAGGAUCCACCCAGACCCAUGUUGGAAGGUUCUCACCUGUAGAGGUGGGCCUGAGAGCUGUACUCGCCUGAUGCAGGGAGGAGGCAGCUCAAGAUGAGUACAGUCUGACAGGAGUGGAUGACCCAGUAAUCGGACUUUGAGUAGGAAUGUUAAAUUUAGUUUAAUCAUCCAAUCGACUAGUCAAUGGGAUUUCCAUCAACUAGUCGAUAAGUGGGGGAGCCACAGUGGGGUUAGCUCUUGGCUGUGGGAGAUAACCCAGCUGCAGUUCUGCCUUUUACAUGUAUUAUGAGCCAGCAGGCUCUUAAUAUGUUUUAAAGGCUGGUGCACAGUGGAGGAGAACAGGGCGGGAGCUGGGAAUCAGCUGAUUCCAGACUUAUGACCAAUUCUCCCUCACUGUGCACCAGCCUUUUAAAUGCAGUAAGAGUCUGCCGGCUCCUAAUACAUUUAAAAAGAAGAGGUGCAGCACGGGGAACCCAACGCGAGCUGGGAGAGCUGACUGUCAGCUUGUGCCAGGUCUCUUCC